AAAUGAGUGCUACCUCUCACUCUCCUCACGUCUUACUAUCCUAGUAUAUAUUUGGGCUUAAGAAAUGAUACCUCUAAUUUAAUUAUUAGGCCCAAAAGACAUAGUAUUAUAAUAUCUCUAUUUAGUUCAAAUAAAUUAAACCAACACAAUAUACACACCAAGUUAAUUAAUUCAAUCAAUUAUUAUACUACCUUAACAACCAAUUAAUUAAUUAACACCCCAAAUAAAUAAAAUAAAAUAGUAU
rnacentral:lncRNA from 1 species